UGAGGAGGGUGCAGUGAGUGAUUUUGCCCUGUGCGAGUGAGCUGGUUGUUGUGGUGCCCCUGGGUAUAACCCUGGUGCCUCGCUUGACUCUCGGUGUGUGACAGUCCCUCCUCUGUUUGGGUUCCUAUCUUGCGGGAGGUCCGGGAAAUUUAAGAUCCCUGUAUUACACCCUACGGUUGGCAAAUAUUUUUUGAACUUGAUUGCACGUUAAGACGUGUGCUCUUAAAUUUCUUUGCUUUUAAUCCAGGUGUCAGGCGUUUUGUUCUUUCAUUGGAAGCUUGAACUUUAUUUCCCAUUUAAUAAUGAGGUAAAAUGCAUCUAUUCUAUAAAGCGAAAUAAUAAGUAUCAUAUAUGUAUUACUUACUUGUAGGAUCGAAGCAGCCCAGUGUCCAGAUGUUGUGGUAGCCCAGAUUGACCCAAAGAAGUUGAAAAGGAAGCAAAGUGUGAAUGUUUCUCUUUCGGGAUGCCACCCUGCCCCUGAAGGUUAUUCCCCAACACUGCAGUGGCAGCAGCAACAAGUGAUACAGUUUUCGAGUGUUCGACAGAGUGUGCACAAGCAUAGAAAUCACUGGAAAUCUCAACAGUUGGAUAGUAAUGUGACAAUGCCAAAAUCUGAAGAUGAAGAAGGCUGGAAAAAAUUUUGUCUGGGUGAAAGAUUAUGUGCUGAAGGGGCUACUGGACCAUCUACAGACGAAAGCCCUGGGAUUGAUUAUGUACAAGUUGGUUUUCCUCCCUUGCUGAGUAUUGUAAGCAGAAUGAAUCAGGUAAAUGUCAUCAAAUAAUACAGUCUUUUGCUUACAGUGUAUAUGAAAGGUCGAAUCUAUU
rnacentral:lncRNA from 1 species